rnacentral:rRNA from 1 species
AGCGAACGCUGGCGGCAGGCCUAACACAUGCAAGUCGAACGAACCCCUCGGGGUGAGGGGCGGACGGGUGCGUAGCAGGUGGGAACUUGCCGUUAGCUUCGGAAUAAGUGAGGGAAACUUGUGCUAAUACCGAAUGUGCCCUUCGGGUGCAAGAUUUAUCGCCUUUAGAGCGGCCCGCGUCUGAUUAGGUAGUUGGUGAGGUAAUGGCUCACCAAGGCUACGAUCAGUAGCUGGUCUGAGAGGAUGCCCAGCCACAGUGGGACUGAGACACGGCCCAAACUCCUACGGGAGGCAGCAGUGGGGAAUCUUGCGCAAUGGGCGAAAGCCUGACGCAGCCAUGCCGCGUGGAUGAUGAAGGUCUUAGGAUUGUAAAAUCCUUUCACCGGUGAAGAUAAUGACUGUAGCCGGAGAAGAAGCCCCGGCUAACUUCGUGCCAGCCGCCGCAGUAACAC